AUGGCCCAGCUGUUGCACCCUCAGGACUCUGGGUUCUAUGGAAGAAAGGAAAUGGGGGGCCGGUGGAGCUUUCUUGAGUUGUUUGGCCUUCGCCGGCGCCUACGGUCCACGAGGAAGAUGAUCUCUGACAAGAAACAUGGUAAGGAAAAAAGCGCUGGUGGAAGUAAGCUUCGAGGUUGCUAUGUUCCAUUCAAAGACGAAGACAGCGGUGUCACGGAUGAGCAGAGAGUUGUCAUAGAUGAGUACAAAAACACAAAAGUUAAAAAUAAACAAAAGGGUUCAAAAAGGAGUUCUGGUAAGUCUGGUCUGAAGUCAUUGUUUUCAAGAAAAUUGCAUGGAAAGGAAGAUCAGAAAGAGAAGAUGCUUCCUGUCGGACCAAAGCUGCUGCGCACCCUUUCCAUACAUUACUUGGAAAACAAUGACUAUGUUCUUAAUGGUCAGUCAGCUGCCAAUGGUGACGGUUCUUCACACGGCGCUAAACUGUCACCACCAAAUGACACCAGUACAAACUUGCAACAGGAUACGUUAAGCAACCAGGAUGGUUCUGGUACUGACCAUGUGAAACGGAAGAGCCACCGUAGCAUCUCCAUGGAUGGGGUUCUUCAUAAGGUCCCCUAUGGGCAGAGGCUUUCUGGAGAUAACAUUAGACAAGAACUUCCUCGAUCAGCCUCUGCCACAUAUGACAGGGAUGGUCUGAAACCUUACAUUGGCACUGCUGCAAAGAGACAUGGGAACAGCGGUUUUCGGCGUUCGCGUUCCCUAUCUGAAUCACUGGAGAGCUACUCUCACUUGCUGGAUUCCAUUUCAAGCAGUGAAUCCAAAAGGGUGCUGACAAGCUCGAAGUCCACUAGGGACCACUCUUUGGAUGGCCCUGUUGCAGCAACUGCACUGCAGAGAAUUUCCAAUUCUCAGCUCAGAUCAAAAAGUGUGGUUAGACUUGCUGAAUUUCUUGUGAUUCCAGAAGACACAUUGGCAUCAGAAGUUUCAGAGGAAGUUGCUGGAGAUGUGAAACUUGCUGUGGAUGAGGCUUCUUGUAGUGAGGUUGCUGGUGGCUCUGAGAAUCCUGUGUCACUUGAAGAGUUGUUGAGCGAGUGUGAUGUCAUGGAAUCAUCGACUAAAGACAAUUUAUGUAUUGCUCCUUUAGCUUCAGAGGUGGUUGAAGUUUCAGAAGAACAAGCUCCUUUAGCUUCUUCAGAGAUGGUUGAUGUUUCAGAAGAAGCUGCAACUUAUGAUGAUGAUCUGGAGGUUCUCUCAUCGACCCAAGCCAAGCUGUGUACCGACCCUUCAGCAUCUGAAGUUGACAUCCCAGAAGAACAUGCAACAACCUGCAAUGAUGAUGAUGAUGAUGAUCUUAUUCACUCAUCAACUGGAGCUGAUCCAUGCACUCUUCUUAGUCUUCUGCAAUCAGAAGACGUCGACAUUGCAGAACAGCAAGUGCCACCUUCUGAUGAUCAAAUUCAGUCAUGCAUCACCCAACCUUCAGAAGACAUGGACAUUGCGGAAGAACUGGCAACAAUCUCUGAAGACAAUCAGAUUCAUUCAUUUGAUGCUUUGAAAUCAGUGAAAGGUACUAGCUGUGCCCCUGACCCCAAUAGAGAUACUGAAGAUGAGUUAAAUUUAUGCUGUGAACAAGAAACUGAAAGUCCAACCUCUGUUCUGGAUGUGGCCUUCUCAGACCAUCCUGCUGCUAGUUCAGAGAACCAUAUCAUGCUGGAUGAUUCAUCGCUGGUGGAAAAAACUGCCCAUUCAAAUGAAGUGCACGAUCAUUCAGUUGGCAGUGAUGAUGAUCUCGAUUCUAGCACUUCUGUCAAACCACCAACUAGCUCAUUGACUCUGGAGAACAUACUUCAGGAGAACAACCUCAGCGACCUGAACGCCCUCCAAGAAGCGGCAGCAGACCCAAAGAACGAGGCCGAGCUGGCCUACGUGAAGGACAUAUUCAACAAGUCGAGCUUCCGCGACGAGGCGCUGUUCGAAGCUUGGUGCUCGCAGAACCGCGCCGCGCUCCAGGAGGACGACUGCCAGCACUACGAUGCCGCCGCCGCGGCCAUCGACUUCACCGACAUGUCGGCCGACGAGCUGCUCCUGUUCGACCUGACGAACGAGGCUCUUCUCGACGUGUACAAGGACUACGCCGCCGGCGAGUCCAGGCAGCCCCGCUUCUCCGCCUUCCAGCGGCCCAAGCCCGUCGGCGAGCGCGCCCUCAGGGAGCUGCGGUCCAGGGUGGGCCGCCGGCUCGACGAGCGGCCGCAGUCCGGCGUGGAGGUCGACGUCGACGCCGUGCUGUCGAGCGACCUGGCCAGGGCGGACCGCUGGAGCAACUUCCGGCGAGAGGCCGACCAGGUGGCGGGCCUGGUGGCGAACUCCGUGCUCGACAGGCUCGUCACCGAGCUCGCGCUCCAGCUCGCGAAGUUUUGA
rnacentral:rRNA from 1 species